rnacentral:lncRNA from 10 species
UGCACUGCUGCCUAGGCUAGAGUGCAGUGGUGCAAUCAGGGCUCACUGCAGCCUCACUCAACUUCCCAGUCUCAAGCCAUCCUCCUACCUCAGCCUCUGUUCCACUAAUCUACUUGUCAAUUUUUCCAGCAACACCACACCCUCCUGAUCACCAUAGCUUUAUGGUAAGACACCCCUACUCUGUCCAGACCCAACUGUCAACAGAAGCCAAAGCCAUCUGGAGGAGCA